AUUGAACGCUGGCGGCAGGCCUAACACAUGCAAGUCGAGCGAGCGGCGGACGGGUGAGUACUGUCUGGGAAACUGCCUGAUGGGGGGGGAUAACUACUGGAAACGGUAGCUAAUACCGCAUACCAUCAGGUCUGCCCAGAUGGGAUUAGCUAGUAGGUGGGGUAACGGCCCACCUAGGCGACGAUCCCUAGCUGGUGUGAGAGGAUGAUCAGCCACACUGGAACUGAGACACGGUCCAGACUCCUACGGGAGGCAGCAGUGGGGAAUAUUGCACAAUGGGCGCAAGCCUGAUGCAGCCAUGCCGCGUGUAUGAAGAAGGUCUUCGGGUUGUAAAGCACUUUUAGCUGGGAGGCGUUACCCGCAGAAGAAGCACCGGCUAACUCCGUGCCAGCAGCCGCGGUAAUUC
rnacentral:rRNA from 1 species